rnacentral:rRNA from 1 species
AAGUCGAACGAUGAAGCCGGAGCUUGCUCUGGUGGAUUAGUGGCGAACGGGUGAGUAACACGUGAGUAACCUGCCCCUGACUCUGGGAUAAGCGCUGGAAACGGCGUCUAAUACCGGAUAUGCGCUGUAACCGCAUGGUUUGCAGCGGGAAAGAUUUAUCGGUUGGGGAUGGACUCGCGGCCUAUCAGCUUGUUGGUGAGGUAAUGGCUCACCAAGGCGUCGACGGGUAGCCGGCCUGAGAGGGUGACCGGCCACACUGGGACUGAGACACGGCCCAGACUCCUACGGGAGGCAGCAGUGGGGAAUAUUGCACAAUGGGCGCAAGCCUGAUGCAGCAACGCCGCGUGAGGGAUGACGGCCUUCGGGUUGUAAACCUCUUUUAGCAGGGAAGAAGCCUUCGGGUGACGGUACCUGCAGAAAAAGCGCCGGCUAACUACGUGCCAGCAGCCGCGGUAAUACGUAGGGCGCAAGCGUUAUCCGGAAUUAUUGGGCGUAAAGAGCUCGUAGGCGGUUUGUCACGUCUGCUGUGAAAACUGGAGGCUCAACCUCCAGCCUGCAGUGGGUACGGGCAGACUAGAGUGCGGUAGGGGAGAUUGGAAUUCCUGGUGUAGCGGUGGAAUGCGCAGAUAUCAGGAGGAACACCGAUGGCGAAGGCAGAUCUCUGGGCCGUUACUGACGCUGAGGAGCG